GGGUCAAUGAUGAGAACCUUAUAUUGUCCUGAAGAGAGGCGAUGACUUAAAAAUCAUGCUUAAGGCCGGGCGCGGUGGCUC